UAAGGAAUAUUGGUCAAUGGAGGCAACUCUGAACCAGCCAUGUCGCGUGAAUGAUGAAGGUCUUAGGAUUGUAAAAUUCUUUCACCGGGGACGAUAAUGACGGUACCCGGAGAAGAAGCCCCGGCUAACUUCGUGCCAGCAGCCGCGGUAAUACGAAGGGGGCUAGCGUUGCUCGGAAUUACUGGGCGUAAAGGGAGCGUAGGCGGACAUUUAAGUCAGGGGUGAAAUCCCGGGGCUCAACCUCGGAAUUGCCUUUGAUACUGGGUGUCUUGAGUGUGAGAGAGGUAUGUGGAACUCCGAGUGUAGAGGUGAAAUUCGUAGAUAUUCGGAAGAACACCAGUGGCGAAGGCGACAUACUGGCUCAUUACUGACGCUGAGGCUCGAAAGCGUGGGGAGCAAACA
rnacentral:rRNA from 1 species